rnacentral:rRNA from 1 species
CUCCUACGGGAGGUAGCAGUGGGGAAUUUUGCGCAAUGGGGGAAACCCUGACGCAGCAACGCCGCGUGGAGGAUGAAAUAUCUUGGUAUGUAAACUCCUUUCGAUGGGGAAGAUAAUGACGGUACCCAUAGAAGAAGCCCCGGCUAACUUCGGUGCCAGCCGCCGCGGUAAUUC